rnacentral:rRNA from 1 species
ACGACUCUCGGCAACGGAUAUCUCGGCUCUCGCAUCGAUGAAGAACGUAGCGAAAUGCGAUACUUGGUGUGAAUUGCAGAAUCCCGUGAACCAUCGAGUCUUUGAACGCAAGUUGCGCCCCAAGCCAUUAGGCCGAGGGCACGUCUGCCUGGGUGUCACGCAUCGUUGCCCCACCCCACCCCCCCAAACCAAGGCGGGGGCCCGGGGUGCGGGCGGAGAUUGGCCUCCCGUGCGCUGACUGCUCGCGGUUGGCCCAAAUAUGAGUCCUCGGCGACCGAAGCCGCGGCGAUCGGUGGUGAAACAAAGCCUCUCGAGCUCCCGCCGCGCGCCCGGUCUCCAAGUGU